UGGGGAAUCUUGCACAAUGGGGGAAACCCUGAUGCAGCGACGCCGCGUGAACGAUGAAGCCCUUCGGGGUGUAAAGUUCUUUCGACAGGAACGAUAAUGACAGUACCUGGAGAAGAAGCUUCGGCUAACUACGUGCCAGCAGCCGCGGUAAUACGGAGGCAGCGAGCGUUGUUCGGAGUUACUGGGCGUAAAGAGUGCGUAGGCGGCGAGCCAAGUUUGGUGUGAAAUCUCCCGGCUUAACCGGGAGGGUGCGCCGAAAACUGGUUGGCUGGAGUAUGGGAGAGGAAGGCGGAAUUCCUGGUGUAGCGGUGAAAUGCGUAGAUAUCAGGAGGAACACCUGCGGUGUAGACAGCUUUCUGGACCAAAACGGACGCUGAGGCACGAAAGCGUGGGUAGCAAAC
rnacentral:rRNA from 1 species